GAGAGGACUGCUGUGGUUGUCAGACAUCUCUUUCAGGGGGCGAUCACUCAUCGGUCAUGUGACUGGCGGAGGGAAGAGAAACAACAGGAAUUUAUCAAAAGGAAAAUGAGUUAAAGUGAAACCAAAGAAACUACUAAACUUCAGAGAAAUGUUUAUUCAUCACAGAAGUAUUUUCAGUUUGUAAAGUCCCAUAAGGAAAUAACAAGUUAGCUAACUAAGAAGACCAGGUGUCUAAUCGACUUGGCUGAUGGCACUGAGAGAUAGCUGAUAUGACACCAGCUGAUUUAAACGACAGGAAUUUGAAUGACUUCAGUCAAAAUGCUUGAAUCCAUCAGCAAGGAGUGUCAACCAGUUUUGCUCCGGAGAAAGCGUUCAAGCGCCUGUGUUUCACAGUGUGGAAACACAAGCCUUUCUGGCCAUGAGACCCAAAAAGAGAUUUCUUUGAAAGAAACUGAGUGCAAUUUUUUGUGUCUUCUGAUUUUUUCCAAGAACCGGAGUUUCUG